AGAGUACAAACUGGCAUAAUGGGAGAAGAAGGUGGAUAGUUAGGAGAGAGCUGACUGAGUGCCGUAAAGCCAAAGGUGGAAGCUGAGCCGUCCUCUUCGUCGACCGGCUUGGGCCCGACCGUUCACCGCCUGAAUCGGCCACCGUCUGGUCACUCCUCUCCUCCCUCCCCCCCACCCAGGUCACAGCCAGAGACAUGUGAGUUCUGCUGGUGACAAGCCACGGUCGUCUCCUUAGGCUACCGUAGUUUCCGGUUUCCAGGCCUGUGGAAGGGGAGCCGAUGUGUGCGUGUGAAGAAUUCUUCAAAGAGCAAACAGACUAAGAUUUUCCCACUUCCAAACCAGAAUCCAGACCUCAACCAAAGAGCCGAAACACCUGCCUCUUUAGGGGAACCCCUGGAUGAGUUGUGCAGAAUUCCAAGAAGAUUGUUUGCUGAGAUUCUUUGCAGCCGAGGAACAUGAAGCAAGAGAUGCCUCCCUUUACUCACUGAACCAGCAAGGUCUGCCAAAAUGUCUGAAAGAUCAGAUCUCCUUCACUUCAAGUUUGAAAAUUAUGGAGAUUCAAUGUUACAGAAAAUGAACAAAUUAAGAGAAGAAAACAAGUUUUGUGAUGUUACGGUUCACAUAGAUGACGUUGAGGUUCAGGGCCAUAAAAUUGUUUUCGCUGCAGGCUCCCCUUUCCUGAGAGAUCAGUUUUUGCUGAACGACUCCAGGGAGGUGAAAAUCUCUAUUUUGCAGAGUUCAGAAGUGGGAAGGCAACUGCUGUUAUCCUGUUACAGUGGGAUUCUGGAGUUUCCCGAGAUGGAACUCGUCAAUUAUUUGACGGCGGCCAGCUUUCUCCAGAUGAGUCAUAUCGUCGAAAGAUGCACCCAGGCCCUGUGGAAGUUCAUAAAGCCCAAACAGCCGUUGGAGGGCAAGGAGGAUUGCGAGCAACACAGCGAUUCUUCAGAGUCAAAAGAUCACCGGGGAGAUGACCGGGAGUCUCAGAAGCGGGAUUCGCCCUGCAUUCAGCCCUCCGAGGACAGCAUGGACAUGGAGGACAGCGACAUCCAGAUCGUCAAAGUGGAAUCUAUCGGCGAGGUGUCAGAGGUGAGGAAUAGCAAGAAGGAACCGAGUCAGUUUGCCUCCUCUGAACCCGCGGCUUUGCAUUCGUCGGAACCUCAGCAUUCCUUAAUCAAUUCAACGGUGGAGAACAGAGUGAGCGAGAUUGAACAAAACCACCUCCACAACUAUGCUCUUUCUUACGCAGGGAGCGACGGCGUCGUCCUGGCCUCCAAAGACGUGUUUGGCCCUAACCCUCGGGGCGUCGACAAAGGCCUGCAGUGGCAUCACCAGUGCCCCAAGUGUACCAGGGUAUUUCGACAUCUGGAGAACUACGCCAACCAUUUAAAGAUGCAUAAACUCUUUAUGUGUCUGCUCUGCGGCAAGACUUUCACCCAGAAGGGCAACCUCCACCGGCACAUGAGAGUCCACGCGGGGAUUAAACCUUUCCAGUGUAAGAUCUGCGGGAAAACCUUCUCCCAGAAGUGCUCCCUGCAGGAUCAUCUCAACCUCCACAGUGGCGAUAAGCCCCACAAAUGUAACUAUUGUGACAUGGUCUUUGCCCACAAACCCGUUCUGAGGAAACACCUUAAGCAGCUACACGGUAAAAACAGCUUUGACAAUGCAAAUGAAAGAAACGUGCAAGACCUAACUGUGGACUUUGAUUCCUUUGCCUGUACUGCUGUCUCAGACAGCAAAGGGUGCCAGCCGCAACCUGAGGCCGCCCAGGUUCUGGAUGCAGGUAAACUGGCCCAGGCUGUUCUCAGUUUAAGGAGCGACGGUGCCUGUGUUAAUUAACUAGGUGUGGACGCACACGGCUGUCUGACCAAGAACGGGCGAAGAGUAGAGUGAGAGCUGGGCGAUUGAAAGAGCAGACUCAAAGGCUUCCUAGGUCUAAGGGCGAACCGGUAAGACUACUACUGACCUUGGGAAGCUAUUUCUUUAAAAUGUGUGUGGCCAGAGUUGAGGUUAAUUACUUCUGUCUUUGAAUCCUAUAUGACAAUGUAAGCAGUACUUAAAGUAAAUUCAGAAAGAAGUUCAGGAAGAGGGAAGUUGCAUGUAGCGGGAACCUUUUAGGGCUUGGUGUGAACAGCUGUGCCAAGGUAAACAGAGAAUAAAAUCCAACAGACUGAAGUGGCUGAGUCUUGGAAAUGUCAAUCGGACCUGGUUGCAAUUCUGUUUUUAUGAAAAACCGUUGUAAGAACACUGCUUCACCCUAACUGCCGUUAUCGACAAAGUUUGUAACUACCUGCCCUCUUCCGUCACCACGCCAGCUAAUGGACAGCUUUCCUAAACUUGCUGUAUGUUACACAUACUGACUCUAAACUACCUCUUCACCUAUUAUGAGGAAGUUUCCUUAAUAAAAGUGUGACGACUAAA